rnacentral:rRNA from 1 species
AUUGAACGCUGGCGGCAGGCUUAACACAUGCAAGUCGAGCGGAGAUGAGGUGCUUGCACCUUAUCUUAGCGGCGGACGGGUGAGUAAUGCUUAGGAAUCUGCCUAUUAGUGGGGGACAACAUUCCGAAAGGAAUGCUAAUACCGCAUACGCCCUACGGGGGAAAGCAGGGGAUCUUCGGACCUUGCGCUAAUGGAUGAGCCUAAGUCGGAUUAGCUAGUUGGUGGGGUAAAGGCCUACCAAGGCGACGAUCUGUAGCGGGUCUGAGAGGAUGCUCCGGCACACGGGGACUGAGACACGGCCCAGACUCCUACGGGAGGCAGCAGUGGGGAAUAUUGGACAAUGGGCGGAAGCCUGAUCCAGCCAUGCCGCGUGUGUGAAGAAGGCCUUUUGGUUGUAAAGCACUUUAAGCGAGGAGGAGGCUACCUGGAUUAAUACUCUAGGAUAGUGGACGUUACUCGCAGAAUAAGCACCGGCUAACUCUGUGCCAGCCGCCGCAGUAAAAC